rnacentral:rRNA from 1 species
AGAGUUUGAUCAUGGCUCAGAUUGAACGCUGGCGGCAGGCUUAACACAUGCAAGUCGAACGAUGACUCUCUAGCUUGCUAGAGAAGAUUAGUGGCGGACGGGUGAGUAACAUUUAGGAAUCUGCCUAGUAGUGGGGGAUAGCUCGGGGAAACUCGAAUUAAUACCGCAUACGACCUACGGGUGAAAGGGGGCGCAUGCUCUUGCUAUUAGAUGAGCCUAAAUCAGAUUAGCUAGUUGGUGGGGUAAAGGCCCACCAAGGCGACGAUCUGUAACUGGUCUGAGAGGAUGAUCAGUCACACCGGAACUGAGACACGGUUCGGACUCCUACGGGAGGCAGCAGUGGGGAAUAUUGGACAAUGGGGGCAACCCUGAUCCAGCCAUGCCGCGUGUGUGAAGAAGGCCUUUUGGUUGUAAAGCACUUUAAGCAGGGAGGAGAGGCUAAUGGUUAAUACCCAUUAGAUUAGACGUUACCUGCAGAAUAAGCACCGGCUAACUCUGUGCCAGCAGCCGCGGUAAUACAGAGGGUGCGAGCGUUAAUCGGAAUUACUGGGCGUAAAGCGAGUGUAGGUGGCUCAUUAAGUCACAUGUGAAAUCCCCGGGCUUAACCUGGGAACUGCAUGUGAUACUGGUGGUGCUAGAAUAUGUGAGAGGGAAGUAGAAUUCCAGGUGUAGCGGUGAAAUGCGUAGAGAUCUGGAGGAAUACCGAUGGCGAAGGCAGCUUCCUGGCAUAAUAUUGACACUGAGAUUCGAAAGCGUGGGUAGCAAACAGGAUUAGAUACCCUGGUAGUCCACGCCGUAAACGAUGUCUACUAGCCGUUGGGGUCCUUGAGACUUUAGUGGCGCAGUUAACGCGAUAAGUAGACCGCCUGGGGAGUACGGCCGCAAGGUUAAAACUCAAAUGAAUUGACGGGGGCCCGCACAAGCGGUGGAGCAUGGUGGUUUAAUUCGAUGCAACGCGAAGAACCUUACCUGGUCUUGACAUAGUGAGAAUCCUGCAGAGAUGCUGGGAGUGCCCUUCGGGAGUCACAUACAGUGCUGCAUGCUGUCGGUCAGCUCGUGUCGUGACGAUGUAGCGUAGGUCCCGCACGGAGCGUCACCUUAUUCCUAACUGGCAUGUCGGUAGGCCAGGACUAGGAUACCUGACAUGGACAAACUGGAAGUAUGGGCGCGUGUACU